rnacentral:rRNA from 1 species
CCCAGCGGCUAUAUCACUCUGCAACUCACACCUGAAGAUAACCCACUGAAUAUAAGCAGGCGUGAGCCUGGUCAGUACCUGGAUGGGAGACCUCCUGGGAAAAAACUAAGGCUGCUGCUGGAA